AGUGAACGCUGGCGGCGUGCCUAAUACAUGCAAGUCGAACGGAGUGGCGCACGGGUGCGUAAUUUAUAGCUAAUCUGCCCUACACUAGAGGACAACAGUUGGCAACGACUGCUAAUACUCUAUAGUGUAGGAUGAGGCUAUCUUGGAUCAGCUAGUUGGUUAGGUAAUGGCUCACCAAGGCUAUGACGGAUAACUGGUCUGAGAGGAUGAUCAGUCACACGGUAACGGAGACACGGUGGAGACUCCUACGGGAGGGAGCAGUAGGGAAGAUUGCUCAAUGGGGGAAACCAUGAAGCAGCAACGCAUCGUGGAGGAUGACACUUUGCGGAGCGUAAACUCCUUUUGGUAGGGAAGCGGUACCUAACGAAGAAGCACCGGCUAACUCCGUGCCAGCAGCCGCGGUAAUAC
rnacentral:rRNA from 1 species